UCCUUUCUCCCACAGAGAUAGAACAGAAACCAAUAUUCAAAACGCAAACAUUCCCAGCCCUGUGCUUUUGUGCAGGCAUCUCGCUGUGUGCGCUGGGCACAGAGCAGCGCGCGCGCGCUCGCCUUUCCCUCGGCGGCCCCCCGCGGCUCGGACCCGGGACUGCAGACAGGCCAUCCAUCAUCCGCCCUCCUUCCGUGGAGAGUCGCUGCUGCGGCCAAUCGGCAGCAGGUGGGGCCGCACCUGCGGGACAGCUCGCACUUCCCUCCGAUGAUCUCUCCGCCGCGCCCGGCGUGCUAGCGAUGCCCUUGUGAGCCACUGCGUUCUCCAAGGCCAGAACGAGACAGAAGCUGGAACCACUUAACCCCAAACUACAGGACCAGCCCUGACAUGAUUGGAACUCAUCUUGACCUUGGUGCAGCCUCAUGAAGUUUCCACUGCAAUAACGACCACAUACAGAAGGGCCCAGGGAAUUGCUUCUUUGGGGAUUGGAGAUAAGACUCUGGGAAUUUAUAGAAACAAACAUCAGAAGACUGAAAUGUGGAGAGAAGAAGGCUGCCUGACUAGGGAAUCUCAGGAUACAACGAAAACAUCAAGAGCGUAGGCCCCACUCUGCCUGCUGGUCACAGGAACAGGAUAAGCCAACUUGCACCGUGAAGCUGAGUCACCUUGGCUGACUGAGCAAUAAUGCUGGAGGUGGGACCUGGUAGGAGGUGU